CUCAACCCAGCUCCCCACCUCUCUCCUCCACCGCAGAUCGAUAGAUCAACCCGCUACCUCCCUCCCAAGCCCUGUCUCGCCUCGGCCGACGCGCUCUCCUACCGCGCCCCCGCCCUGUCUACCUCCGCCUCCGCCGCCGGCAGGAUCACAGAGGAGAUCUCGCCCAGCCUCAGUUAUUGUGGUUCCAGAGGCUUGCACUGCUGUCUCCUGCCAACCGGCCACCCCCGCUCCCACCAAACGUGUGCGCUUCGCCAUUACUCCUCCCCUGCACUGCAUCUCCGCCGCGCCGCGCGCAUCUGGCAGCAGACCCACAUUCACUGCGGCCCCCCUCUCUGCGACACCCGCGAGCUGCGGCAGGCCUGAAC
rnacentral:misc_RNA from 1 species